CGGGACGGGUGAGUAAUGUCUGGGAAACUGCCUGAUGAGGGGGAGUAACUACUGGAAACGGUAGCUAAUACCGCAUAACGUCGCAAGACCAAAGAGGGGGACCUUCGGGCCUCUUGCCAUCGGAUGUGCCCAGAUGGGAUUGGCUAGUAGGUGGGGUAACGGCUCACCUAGGCGACGAUCCCUAGCUGGUCUGAGAGGAUGACCAGCCACACUGGAACUGAGACACGGUCCAG
rnacentral:rRNA from 1 species